rnacentral:rRNA from 1 species
UACAGAGGUGGCAAGCGUUGUUCGGAAUUACUGGGCGUAAAGGGCGCGUAGGCGGCCCGUCAAGUCCCGUGUGAAAGCCCCCGGCUCAACCGGGGAACUGCACGGGAAACUAGCAGGCCUGAGUUCGGGAGAGGGAAGCGGAAUUUCGGGUGUAGCGGUGAAAUGCGCAGAUAUCCGAAGGAACACCGGUGGCGAAGGCGGCUUCCUGGACCGACACUGACGCUGAGGCGCGAAAGCUAGGGGAGCAAACGGG